AUGAUCAAACAAGGGGCAUCGUUUCCUACUAAUAUCCAUCCGAGAGAGACACAGGGGCAGGUAUCCCUCAGCAUCCAUCAGAAACAAAGCGCAAAUCUGGUGGCGGAGGAGAGCCCGGAGCUGCUGAACCCUGAGCCCAGAAGACUGAGCCCAGAGUCGAGGCUGCUGCCCUAUGUGAUCAGGCUGGGCGACGCCGUGCACAGCUUCGCCGCUGGGCUGGCUGCGGCGCCGCCUUCGCGUCCUCUUGGAAGACCGGGUUGGCCACCUCGCUGGCCGUGUUCUGCCACGAGUUGCCUCACGGGCUGGGGAACUUCGCGGCCUUGCUGCACGCGGGGCUGUCCAUGCGCCAAGCGCUGCUGCUGAACCUGGCCUUCACGCUCACGGCCUUCGCUAGUCUCUAUGUGGCACUCGGCGAUCGGAGUCGGCGAGGAGAGCGAGGCCUGGAGCAAUUCAGGGUCACAGUGGAGCAGUGGAGGUCACAGUGGAGGAGGCCUGGAUCCUGGCGGUUGCCAUGGGCCUGUUCCUCUACCUGGGGCUCUGCGACAGGCUCCCGGUCAUGUUGAAAGUGCGGGACCCGCGGUAAUGGCUCUUCUUCCUGCUGUACAACGUGGGCCUGCUGGGCGGCUGGACUGUCCUGCUGCUGCUGUCCCUGUACGAGGAUGACAUCACCCUCUGAUACCCUGCUCUAGUCCCCGGCCUUUGACUCAAGACUCUACACCCAAACAUACAGCCCAGAAACCAGAAGCCCCUAUAGAGUUUCCAGUUCCAACUCCAAUAAAAACACUCAUCCUUG